CAGGUAACUAUGCAAAAGGACAACCCCAGUCCAACACAUCUAAAUCAGUGCCACACCUUCACACUUUUGAACCCUUCUCCUUCUGAUAGUGUCUGAGAAAAAUAUCUACAUGAAGAAUUGGAGAUGGAAUGAGAGGGUGAAGAGGAAGAGCUCCAACACACAUUUGCUGGUUUUUUUCCAGUUAAGUCCAGAAAUGUCAUACCCACCUUUGGCUUCUGAACCUGAUCCAGAAAUGAACUAUGACCUGGAUGAAGCUUAUUCUGACUUUUUACCUAGUCCACAGAGCUCUUUCCAAUUACAGCUGCCGGCUGUUGAUAGCUCGGCUGAUUCCUUAAUUGGGAGAGAAAGUGAAAAUAUUACUCCCAUGGCGGAACCAGAUGUUCUUAGUUCCCCAAAGAAUGUGUCCUUCAACAGAAGGGAGUUUCUGCAUCACCAGAGAUCUGAGAAACAAGAACUCCGCAGGAGUAACCGCUUGGCAUCUCGAGGGGAUAAUGGAUAGAAGGCUUUCCCUUGGGAACCUUUAGGGAGUUUGGCUUUCCUUGUUUGUGAUCAAAUCUAAGUUCCAUAAAAGUGCUUUGCACCAUGGACAUUUCGCGGUGUCAACAUUUCUAUUUCCUGAGAAAGGUUCACCAACUCUAGCUCCUGUUUCUUCCAAGCCAAGUUUCCAGAUCCUGGCGGCCAAGCCGAGCCGCGACUCCCAAGUAGACCCGGAUUAAGUCUACUUCCUUGCCUGAACCAAGUUUUGCCUCAGCUUCAUCGCGUUCCUGCCUUGUUAUCAAAGUUUUCCUAGUGACUUUGGACUUUGUUAUUCAGUCUUGCUUCCUUGUUUUUUCCCCGCUCAAGAACUUUCCAACAGUUUUGAGUGUGUUUCGGUUUCUGGACUUUGGACAAUAAUAUUGACAUAUCCCUUCAAUUCUUUGGACUAAUUCCUACCUUUUCAUAAAAGACUAUUACCUGCUCAACCUUUCCACCUAUUCAUUCCUGGAUUUAUAACUGUUUUAAUAAAGG
rnacentral:lncRNA from 11 species